CGCCCGUGUGCGGGAGAGCUCCGUGAUCGCCAGUCACGGGCGCCGAAGGAGCAACACCUCUCCGUCAACCUCUCAGGCACCCCGGACCGCGCACGGCCU
rnacentral:ncRNA from 2 species